UACAGAGGUCCCAAGCGUUGUUCGGAUUCAUUGGGCGUAAAGGGUGCGUAGGCGGCGCGGUAAGUCGGGUGUGAAAUCUCGGGGCUUAACUCCGAAACUGCAUUCGAUACUGCCGUGCUUGAGGACUGGAGAGGAGACUGGAAUUUACGGUGUAGCGGUGAAAUGCGUAGAUAUCGUAAGGAAGACCAGUGGCGAAGGCGGGUCUCUGGACAGUUCCUGACGCUGAGGCACGAAGGCCAGGGGGAGCAAACGGGG
rnacentral:rRNA from 1 species